rnacentral:rRNA from 1 species
UACGUAGGGUCCGAGCGUUGUCCGGAGUUAUUGGGCGUAAAGAGCUCGUAGGCGGUCUGUCGCGUCGGUUGUGAAAACCUGGGGCUCAACUCCAGGCCUGCAAUCGAUACGGGCAGACUAGAGUUCGGUAGGGGAGACUGGAAUUCCUGGUGUAGCGGUGAAAUGCGCAGAUAUCAGGAGGAACACCGGUGGCGAAGGCGGGUCUCUGGGCCGAAACUGACGCUGAGGAGCGAAAGCGUGGGGAGCGAACAGG